UACGGGGGGAGCAAGCGUUGUUCGGAAUCACUGGGCGUAAAGGGCGUGUAGGCGGUUAGGUUCGUGAGAUGUGAAAUGCCCCGGCUCACCCGGGGACCUGCAUCUCAAACUGCCUGGCUUGAGUAUGGGAGAGGAUGAGGGAAUUCCUGGUGUAGCGGUGAAAUGCGUAGAUAUCAGGAGGAACACCGGUGGCGAAAGCGCUCAUCUGGCCCAAUACUGACGCUGAGGCGCGAAAGCUAGGGGAGCAAACGGG
rnacentral:rRNA from 1 species